GACGAACGCUGGCGGCGUGCCUAAUACAUGCAAGUCGAACGCUGAAGAGAGGCGCUUGCUCUUCUUUGGUGAGUUGCGAACGGGUGUGUAACGCGUGGGUAACCCGCCUUGUAUUGGGGGAAAAUCAGUGGAAACGGGAGCUUAUACCGCAUAACAAUCGGCUGCAUAUGGCGGUUUGGUGAAAGGGGGCAUUGGUCCACUACAAGACGGACCUGCGUUGUAUUGGCUAGGAGGUGGGGUAACAGGGCAUCUAGGCGACGAUGCAUUGCCGACCUGACAGGGUGAUCGGCCACACUGGGACUGAGACACGGCCCAGACUCCUACGGGAGGCAGCAGUAGGGAAUCUUCGGCAAGGGGGGCAACCCUGACCGAGAAACGCCGAGGGAGGGAAGAAGGUUGUCGGAUCGUAAAGCUCUGUUGUAAGUCAAGAACGAGUGUGAGAGUGGAAAGUUUACACUGUGACGGUAGCUUAUCAGAAAGGGACGGCUAACUACGUG
rnacentral:rRNA from 1 species